rnacentral:tRNA from 1 species
GCCGGAGUAGCUCAGUGGCAGAGCAACACUUUUGUAAAGUGAAGGUCGGAGGUUCGACUCCUCUCUCCGGCU